GAUGAACGCUGGCGGCGUGCUUAACACAUGCAAGUCGAACGGAAAGGCUCCUGCUUGCUGGGGUACUCGAGUGGCGAACGGGUGAGUAACACGUGGGUGAUCUGCCCUGCACUUCGGGAUAAGCCUGGGAAACUGGGUCUAAUACCGGAUAGGACGAUUGUUUUGAUGCCAUUGUGGAAAGUUUUUCGGUGUGGGAUGAGCUCGCGGCCUAUCAGCUUGUUUGUGGGGUAAUGGCAUACCAAGGCGUCGACGGGUAGCCGGACUGUGAGGGUGUACGGGCAAAAUGGGACUGAGAUACGGACCAGACUGCAACGGGAGGAAGCAGUGGGGAAGAUUGCACAAUGGGCGCAAGCCUGAUGCAGAGACGCAGCGUGGGGGAUGACGGCCUUCGGGUUGUAAACAACUUUCGAUAGGGACGAAGCGAAAGUGACGGUAACUGGAGAAGAAGCACCGGCUAACUACGUG
rnacentral:rRNA from 1 species